rnacentral:rRNA from 1 species
AUUGAACGCUGGCGGCAGGCCUAACACAUGCAAGUCGAACGGUAACAGGAAGAAGCUUGCUUCUUUGCUGACGAGUGGCGGACGGGUGAGUAAUGUCUGGGAAACUGCCUGAUGGAGGGGGAUAACUACUGGAAACGGUAGCUAAUACCGCAUAACGUCGCAAGACCAAAGAGGGGGACCUUCGGGCCUCUUGCCAUCGGAUGUGCCCAGAUGGGAUUAGCUAGUAGGUGGGGUAACGGCUCACCUAGGCGACGAUCCCUAGCUGGUCUGAGAGGAUGACCAGCCACACUGGAACUGAGACACGGUCCAGACUCCUACGGGAGGCAGCAGUGGGGAAUAUUGCACAAUGGGCGCAAGCCUGAUGCAGCCAUGCCGCGUGUAUGAAGAAGGCCUUCGGGUUGUAAAGUACUUUCAGCGGGGAGGAAGGGAGUAAAGUUAAUACCUUUGCUCAUUGACGUUACCCGCAGAAGAAGCACCGGCUAACUCCGUGCCAGCAGCCGCGGUAAUACGGAGGGUGCAAGCGUUAAUCGGAAUUACUGGGCGUAAAGCGCACGCAGGCGGUUUGUUAAGUCAGAUGUGAAAUCCCCGGGCUCAACCUGGGAACUGCAUCUGAUACUGGCAAGCUUGAGUCUCGUAGAGGGGGGUAGAAUUCCAGGUGUAGCGGUGAAAUGCGUAGAGAUCUGGAGGAAUACCGGUGGCGAAGGCGGCCCCCUGGACGAAGACUGACGCUCAGGUGCGAAAGCGUGGGGAGCAAACAGGAUUAGAUACCCUGGUAGUCCACGCCGUAAACGAUGUCGACUUGGAGGUUGUGCCCUUGAGGCGUGGCUUCCGGAGCUAACGCGUUAAGUCGACCGCCUGGGGAGUACGGCCGCAAGGUUAAAACUCAAAUGAAUUGACGGGGGCCCGCACAAGCGGUGGAGCAUGUGGUUUAAUUCGAUGCAACGCGAAGAACCUUACCUGGUCUUGACAUCCACAGAACUUUCCAGAGAUGGAUUGGUGCCUUCGGGAACUGUGAGACAGGUGCUGCAUGGCUGUCGUCAGCUCGUGUUGUGAAAUGUUGGGUUAAGUCCCGCAACGAGCGCAACCCUUAUCUUUUGUUGCCAGCGGUCCGGCCGGGAACUCAAAGGAGACUGCCAGUGAUAAACUGGAGGAAGGUGGGGAUGACGUCAAGUCAUCAUGGCCCUUUCGACCAGGGCUACACACGUGCUACAAUGGCGCAUACAAAGAGAAGCGACCUCGCGAGAGCAAGCGGACCUCAUAAAGUGCGUCGUAGUCCGGAUUGGGGUCUGCAACUCGACUCCAUGAAGUCGGAAUCGCUAGUAAUCGUGGAUCAGAAUGCCACGGUGAAUACGUUCCCGGGCCU